rnacentral:rRNA from 1 species
GAUGAACGCUGGCGGCGUGCCUAAUACAUGCAAGUCGAGCGAACGAACGAGAAGCUCGCUUCUCUGAUGUUAGCGGCGGACGGGUGAGUAACACGUGGAUAACCUACCUAUAAGACUGGGAUAACUUCGGGAAACCGGAGCUAAUACCGGAUAAUAUUUUGAACCGCAUGGUUCAAAAGUGAAAGACGGUCUUGCUGUCACUUAUAGAUGGAUCCGCGCUGCAUUAGCUAGUUGGUAAGGUAACGGCUUACCAAGGCAACGAUGCAUAGCCGACCUGAGAGGGUGAUCGGCCACACUGGAACUGAGACACGGUCCAGACUCCUACGGGAGGCAGCAGUAGGGAAUCUUCCGCAAUGGGCGAAAGCCUGACGGAGCAACGCCGCGUGAGUGAUGAAGGUCUUCGGAUCGUAAAACUCUGUUAUUAGGGAAGAACAUAUGUGUAAGUAACUGUGCACAUCUUGACGGUACCUAAUCAGAAAGCCACGGCUAACUACGUG